GCUCGGUUAGCUCAGAUGGUAGAGCGCGGGACUUUUAAUCCUGAGGUCGAGGGUUCAAGUCCCUCAUCGGGCG
rfam:Daphnia pulex DAPPTscaffold_640_Cont10429, whole genome shotgun sequence.